UACGUAGGGGGCUAGCGUUGUCCGGAAUCAUUGGGCGUAAAGCGCGUGUAGGCGGUCCGGUAAGUCCGCUGUGAAAGUCGGGGGGCUCAACCCUCGAAUGCCGGUGGAUACUGUCGGGCUAGAGUGCGGAAGAGGCGAGUGGAAUUCCUGGUGUAGCGGUGAAAUGCGCAGAUAUCAGGAGGAACACCAAUUGCGAAGGCAGCUCGCUGGGACGUAACUGACGCUGAGGAGCGAAAGCCAGGGGAGCAAACGGG
rnacentral:rRNA from 1 species